rnacentral:rRNA from 1 species
GACGAACGCUGGCGGCGUGCUUAACACAUGCAAGUCGAACGCUGAAGCCCAGCUUUUGUUGGGUGGACGAGUGGCGAACGGGUGAGUAACACGUGAGUAACCUGCCCCCUUCUUUGGGAUAACGCCCGGAAACGGGGGCUAAUACUGGAUAUGCACUGCUCUUGCCUUGUGGGUUGGUGGAAAGGGCUUCUCUGGUGGGUGAUGCGCUCGCGGCCCAUCAGCUUGGUGGUGGGGUGAUGGCCGACCAAGUCUCUGACGGAUAGUCGGCCUGAGAGGGUGACCGAGCGCGUUGGGGCUGAGAUACGGCCUAAGAUCCUACGGGGGGCGGCAGUGGGGACUAAUGCGCAAUGGGCGCAAGAAUGAUGCAGCGACGCCGCGUGAGACGUGGCGUCCGUCGGGUUGUGAACCUCUUUCGCACAUGGUCAAGCCGCGACAAUGGUUGUGGUGAGGGUAGUGGGUAAAGAAGCGCCGGCUAACUACGUG